UACGGAGGGGCUAGCGUUGUUCGGAAUUACUGGGCGUAAAGCGCACGUAGGCGGAUAUUUAAGUCAGGGGUGAAAUCCCGGGGCUCAACCCCGGAACUGCCUUUGAUACUGGGUAUCUGGAGGUCGAGAGAGGCGAGUGGAAUUCCGAGUGUAGAGGUGAAAUUCGUAGAUAUUCGGAGGAACACCAGUGGCGGAAGGCGGCGACC
rnacentral:rRNA from 1 species